rnacentral:rRNA from 1 species
CCGUAAACUUUUAUUUACACCUGAACCGCCCGGGAACUACGAGCUAAGCUUAAAACCCAAAGGACUUGACGGUACCCCAUAUCCCCCUAGAGGAGCCUGUCCUAUAAUUGAUAAUCCACGUUUAACCUCACCAUUUCUAGUUAAUCAGCCUGUAUACCUCCGUCGCCAGCUUACCACGUGAGCGCUAAUUAGUGAGCUUAAUGUUUUUCACCAGUACGUCAGGUCAAGGUGCAGCAAAUGAAAUGGGAAGAGAUGGGCUACACUUUCUAUAUUAGAAGAAACGAAAAACUACCUAUGAAACCUAGUUGGAAGGCGGAUUUAGCAGUAAAAUGGGAUCAACAUGCUCAUUUUAACCCGGCACUGGGGUGUGUACACACCGCCCGUCACCCU